AACGAACGCUGGCGGCAUGCCUAACACAUGCAAGUCGAACGAUUGCCUUCGGGUGAUAGUGGCGCCCGGGUGCGUAACGCGUGGGAAUCUGCCCUUAGGUUCGGAAUAACAGCUGGAAACGGCUGCUAAUACCGGAUGAUAUCGCGAGAUCAAAGAUUUAUCGCCUGAGGAUGAGCCCGCGUUGGAUUAGGUAGUUGGUGGGGUAAAGGCCUACCAAGCCGACGAUCCAUAGCUGGUCUGAGAGGAUGAUCAGCCACACUGGGACUGAGACACGGCCCAGACUCCUACGGGAGGCAGCAGUGGGGAAUAUUGGACAAUGGGCGCAAGCCUGAUCCAGCAAUGCCGCGUGAGUGAUGAAGGCCCUAGGGUUGUAAAGCUCUUUUACCCGGGAAGAUAAUGACUGUACCGGGAGAAUAAGCCCCGGCUAACUCCGUG
rnacentral:rRNA from 1 species